rnacentral:lncRNA from 1 species
ACAUAAUCAAGUCAAAAGUCAAAACCAAACUUUGAGAAUUUUGCAACUGUUACCCUACGAGAAACUAAAGACUAUCAUUCUUUGUCUAAUUUUUUUUUCAUCUCGUGUUUCAUACCCUUAUUGAAGUUUUGUUUGUUCGAAUCCGUGCUGAGAAGUCUCAAUAUAAGGGUAAAAUGCUCUAGCUAUCUAAGACAACUCUAUACCAAAGGUUUUGUUGACGGAACAGCCACCUCUUGCCAGAUGAGCUUAAGCUCUCAAACAAAUGUAAAACAGAAGAAGAAAGAAAUGAAAUGAUUCUCUACUAAUCACUUUUCUGAUAAACAUUGUUUGGGCUGCACACUUGGGUCGUUCAGCAUAUUAAUGGAGAAG